rnacentral:rRNA from 1 species
UACGUAGGGGGCUAGCGUUGUCCGGAAUCAUUGGGCGUAAAGAGCGUGUAGGCGGCCCGGUAAGUCCGCUGUAAAAGUCAAAGGCUCAACCUUUAAAUGUCAGUGGAUACUGCCGGGCUAGAGUCCGGAAGAGGCGAGUGGAACUCCUGGUGUAGCGGUGGAAUGCGCAGAUAUCAGGAAGAACACCAACGGCGAAGGCAGCUCGCUGGGACGGUACUGACGCUGAGACGCGAAAGCGUGGGGAGCGAACAGG